GAUGAAGAACGUAGCGAAAUGCGAUAAGUAAUGUGAAUUGCAGAAUUCAGUGAAUCAUCGAAUCUUUGAACGCACAUUGCGCCCGCCAGUAUUCUGGCGAGCAUGCCUGUUCGAGCGUCAUUUCAACCAUCAAGCCCCAGGCUUGUGUUGGAGCCCUGCGGCUGCCGCAGCCUCCCAAAACCAGUGGCGGGCUCGCUAUCACACCGAGUGCAGUAGUUUACUCUUCGCUCAGGGCGUGUGGCGGGUGCUAGCCGUGAAACCCCCAACUUCUCAAGGUUGACCUCGGAUCAGGUAGGAAUACCGGCUGAACUUAAGCAUAUCAAUAAGCGGAGGA
rnacentral:misc_RNA from 1 species